rnacentral:rRNA from 1 species
AUUGAACGCUGGCGGAAUGCUUUACACAUGCAAGUCGAACGGCAGCACGGACUUCGGUCUGGUGGCGAGUGGCGAACGGGUGAGUAAUGUAUCGGAACGUGCCCAGUCGUGGGGGAUAACGUAGUGAAAAUUACGCUAAUACCGCAUACGAUCUAUGGAUGAAAGCGGGGGAUCGCAAGACCUCGCGCGAUUGGAGCGGCCGAUAUCAGAUUAGGUAGUUGGUGGGGUAAAGGCCCACCAAGCCAACGAUCUGUAGCUGGUCUGAGAGGACGACCAGCCACACUGGAACUGAGACACGGUCCAGACGCCGACGGGAGGCAGCAGUGGGGAAUUUUGGACAAUGGGCGAAAGGCUGAUCCAGCCAUUCCGCGUGCAGGAUGAAGGCCCUCGGGUUGUAAACUGCUUUUGUACAGAACGAAAAGGUUUCUACUAAUACUAGGAGCUCAUGGCGGUACUGUAAGAAUAAGCACCGGCUAACUACGUGCCAGCCGCCGCAGUAA